GUUAAAUUUCAUUUUAAGCUGAACUAAUCCUUUAAAGAUUAACAAAUACUGUAACAAAAAUUUUGCUUAUUGAUAAUUAAUGAGAUCCUAUUGUAAUGUUAUGACAUUUUUUGCAUUUGUUGUACACAUUAUCUAAAGUAAUUUACAUUGCAUGCAAGUCACAUAUUCAGUACAUGCUCAGGUGCAAGUUGUAUUUCUAUAUACACAUACAUGCACGCAUUUAUGUUAAUGAUAUGGUGCAUGUGCUUGUUCUUCUACAGAAACAAUGGGCGAGAUUUUGGGAUUACACAAUAUGCUUGUGUUCUCACACUGGAUCCAAACACGGUCCAUCCGAACCUCUUUCUAUCUGAGAGGGACCGGAAGGCAAAGCACGUGAGAGAGAAGCAGCCGUAUCCGGAUCAUCUGGAGAGAUUUGACUGGCAGCGGAAGGUUCAGCCUUUGGACGGCCUUUACACGAUGUGCUGACAGAACAUGAUCAUGAAUCAUGAGAAGUGUUUUUUAUGAUAACGGGAGUAAGAGAAGAAUAUGAAUCACUUCACAUCAUUUGUUCUCAUUUUUUUUCUGUAUGUUAGAUUGUCUAAAGCUGAAAAAAACAUGCUCGUACUUCAUAGUGUAAAAUUGACAAGUUAAAUUUAUUAUCGAGUUCAAGUGAAUGUAAAAUAGUCAAAACAUCUGAACACAAUCUAAUUUGCUAAUGGUUAAUGAUUAUGUACCUGUCACAUCAAAACAUUUUGAUUCAAUACACUUUAUUUUACUGUGGAUUUUCUCAAAAGUCACUGCUUUUAAAAAAGAAAUUCUAAAGUUUAACAUGUGAUUCGAUAUUUUUUGCAUAAUGUAAUACUAUUACCAUUACUCGUCUGUAAUACUGUCUGUAUUGAAAGAAUGAAAUCGAAUAGAUGUCUCAAUUACAGUGUUGACCACAUAAACAGUGCUGUAAGUCAGAAAUACCUGGAUAAAAAUGAG